GCCCGCACAAGCGGUGGAUUAUGUGGUUUAAUUCGAUGCAACGCGAAGAACCUUACCAGGGCUUGACAUCCUGCUAACGAGGUAGAGAUACGUCAGGUGCCCUUCGGGGAAAGCAGAGACAGGUGGUGCAUGGUUGUCGUCAGCUCGUGUCGUGAGAUGUUGGGUUAAGUCCCGCAACGAGCGCAACCCUUAUUGUUAGUUGCUACGCAAGAGCACUCUAGCGAGACUGCCGUUGACAAAACGGAGGAAGGUGGGGACGACGUCAAAUCAUCAUGCCCCUUAUGUCCUGGGCUACACACGUAAUACAAUGGCGGUAAACAGAGGGAUGCAAAACUGCGAAGUGGAGCGAACCCCUAAAAGCCGUCCCAGUUCAGAUUGCAGUCUGCAACUCGACUGCAUGAAGUCGGAAUCGCUAGUAAUCGCGGAUCAGCAUGCCGCGGUGAAUACGUUCCCGGGCCUUGUACACACCGCCCGUCACACCAUGAGAGUCGGGAACACCCGAAGUCCGUAGCCUAACCGCAAGGAGGGCGCGGCCGAAGGUGGGUUCGAUAAUUGGGGUGAAGUCGUAACAAGGUAGCCGU
rnacentral:rRNA from 1 species